CAUGCAGUCGUGCGAGAAGUAUCUUCGGAUAUGAGUAGAGCGGCGGACGGGUGAGUAACGCGUAGGAAUCUACCUAGUAGAAGGGGAUAGCCCGAGGAAACUCGGAUUAAUACCGUAUACCUCCUUCGGGAGAAAGAAGGCCUCUCUUUGAAGCUUUCGCUACUAGAUGAGCCUGCGUAAGAUUAGCUUGUUGGUGAGGUAAAGGCUCACCAAGGCUACGAUCUUUAGCGGGUCUGAGAGGACGAUCCGCCACAUUGGGACUGAGACACGGCCCAGACUCCUACGGGAGGCAGCAGUGGGGAAUAUUGGACAAUGGGCGAAAGCCUGAUCCAGCCAUACCGCGUGUGUGAAGAAGGCCCUAGGGUUGUAAAGCACUUUAAGUUGGGAAGAAAAGUUAUUGGUUAAUACCCAAUGACCGUGACAUUACCAUCAGAAUAAGGACCGGCUAAUUCCGUGCCAGCAGCCGCGGUAAUACGGAAGGUCCAAGCGUUAAUCGGAAUUACUGGGCGUAAAGCGCGCGUAGGUGGUUUAUUAAGUUGGGUGUGAAAUCCCCGGGCUCAACCUGGGAACUGCAUCCAAAACUGAUUCACUAGAGUACGAUAGAGGGAGGUAGAAUUCACAGUGUAGCGGUGGAAUGCGUAGAUAUUGUGAAGAAUACCAAUGGCGAAGGCAGCCUCCUGGAUCUGUACUGACACUGAGGUGCGAAAGCGUGGGUAGCGAACAGGAUUAGAUACCCUGGUAGUCCACGCCGUAAACGAUGUCAACUAUCUGUUGGGAAGCAUUGCUUUUCAGUGGAGCAGCUAACGUAAUAAGUUGACCGCCUGGGGAGUACGGCCGCAAGGCUAAAACUCAAAUGAAUUGACGGGGACCCGCACAAGCGGUGGAGCAUGUGGUUUAAUUCGAUGCAACGCGAAAAACCUUACCUAUGCUUGACAUACUUGGAAUACUUUGUAAUGAAGUAGUGCCUUCGGGAGCCAGGAUACAGGUGCUGCAUGGCUGUCGUCAGCUCGUGUCGUGAGAUGUUCCGUUAAGUCGGAUAACGAGCGCAACCCUUACCCUUAUUUGCCAGCGAUUCGGUCGGGAACUAUAAGGGGACUGCCGGUGAUAAACCGGAGGAGGGUGAGG
rnacentral:rRNA from 1 species